CGGGACCGCCUCUCCUGGUAUGCCCCACAGAGGAACCUACGGUCUGCAAAUAAAAACAUCCUGAAGGUCCCAGGCCUCAGAGAAGUUAGGCUGGCCUCAACUAGAGCCAGGGCUUUCUCGGCUGCGGCUCCAAUCUGGUGGAACGCUCUGUCACAAGAGACUAGGGCCCUGCGGGACCUGACAUCUUUCCGCAGGGCCUGCAAGACAGAGUUGUUCCACCAGGCCUUUGGUCAGGGCCCAGCCUGACUCCCACCUCCGGCAACCUGCACAGAACUUUGCUUAACGGUUGCCAUUAAUUUGAUUUUAAUUAAUUUUAUAAUGAAAUGUUAGAAUGUUGGAUUAUUUGAUUGUUUGAUUAUUUGUUUGUUGUUAGCCGCCCUGAGCCUGGCUUUGGCUGGGGAGGGCGGGAUAUAAAUAAAAUUUAUUAUUAUUAU